AAACCAGCACCUCAAGUGGUCAGGAGGAUUAUUGGGCCUAAAGCAUCCGUAGCCUGCUUUGUAAGUUUUCGGUUAAAUCCAUAUGCUCAACAUAUGGGCUGCCGGGAAUACUGCAUAGCUAGGGAGUGGGAGAGGUAGACGGUACUCCGUAGGAAGGGGUAAAAUCCUUUGAUCUAUGGAUGACCACCUGUGGCGAAGGCGGUCUACCAGAACACGUCCGACGGUGAGGGAUGAAAGCUGGGGGAGCAAACCGGAUUAGAUACCCGGGUAGUCC
rnacentral:rRNA from 1 species